CAUUCACGGAGAGUUUGAUCCUGGCUCAGGACGAACGCUGGCGGCGUGCUUAACACAUGCAAGUCGAACGAUGAACCACUUCGGUGGGGAUUAGUGGCGAACGGGUGAGUAACACGUGGGCAAUCUGCCCUGCACUCUGGGACAAGCCCUGGAAACGGGGUCUAAUACCGGAUAUGACCAUCUUGGGCAUCCUUGAUGGUGUAAAGCUCCGGCGGUGCAGGAUGAGCCCGCGGCCUAUCAGCUUGUUGGUGAGGUAACGGCUCACCAAGGCGACGACGGGUAGCCGGCCUGAGAGGGCGACCGGCCACACUGGGACUGAGACACGGCCCAGACUCCUACGGGAGGCAGCAGUGGGGAAUAUUGCACAA
rnacentral:rRNA from 1 species